AACAUCUCUGGAUUUAAUGGUAGUACAACAGUUCUUAAAGGCAACAACUUGCAGUUAACCUGCGUAGCAGUGGGUAGACCAGAACCAAACAUCACCUGGACCAAAGAGGAGACGGGGAACCAAGGAAAUACUGAUGUGUUAUCUAAAGGAAAGGUGCUGACCAUAACAAAGAUCAGCAGAAAUGAUUCAGGAACAUUCAGCUGUACAGCAUAUAAUGGUUUUGGUAAAGCAGAGAGCCAAACAGUUUACGUAAAGGUUACUUAUCCAGCCAAGAUUCUUACCAGUAAAUUUCAAGCUGAGUAUAUCGUUGGUUUGAACCAAAGUGUCACUCUUAACUGUACAGCAGAAGGGAAACCUCCGCCUACAAAUGCUUGGACUCCAUGUGGAUCAGGACAAGUUUGUGACAAGAGUACACUUGAUCUUUUAAAUGUCUGUAAUGAUGUGAACUAUACCUGUGAAGUGGCCAAUAUACAUGGAAAUGAUUCAAAAACUGCCAAUGUUUACAUUGGAGGAGAUGUGAUUAACACAACAAUUAUCCUCAAAACUGACUCUUGUAAAGAUGGACUAAACAAAUCGUCAGUAGAAGAGGC